GUUCACUGUAUUUAUUGAGUUGCCUUGGUUACGCAGUGUACCGUACACUUGUGUUGGACUACAUUUCUCUAAAGUUAAUUUACUGUUAAGACCCACAGAUGGAUUUCCUCUUCAAAGGGCUUCUGCUGGGGACUGCAGUGCUGGUGGCGGCUGUGACGGUCGCCGUCGAGUUGUGGCAGUAUCGGAACGUGCCCAGGCAGUAUCAAGCACACGGCGAGCGGAGGCGUAGAGACGACUAACAAAAUCCACUGGUUGGAUCACGAUGUCUUCUCUCUCGCACCUCAAGCAAGCAAAAUGUUUUAUUAUUUUAAGUCUUAGAUAUUAUUGCACUUUAUAUUCAAUGUGUUUAUUUCUCAUAAUGCUGGUUACAGACAUGUGUCAAGAAGAGUUCUUCACCAAAAAACAUUGAUGUUGUAUAAUUGGUGAGUUGUUCGAGCGUUAUGUUAUAAUAAUAAAUGGUACUAAACGAAACUUUCGUCCAUUAUGGCGCUAUCUUUGCAAAAAAUAUUCCAAAAAUAUUUGCAAAACGCAAAUGGGAAGUCUCAAUUGCAGAGUAAAACUUUUCAAAAGAUAUUUAUAGCAACACCAUGAAACAUCUUGCCACGUGCCUGUGACCUGCAUUAAAUUUUUAUGUAUAAGUACUUACAGGCAGGCUGCAGAGCUUAGAAAUUAUUCUCAAGUUGUUUAUGUUUUUUUAAUAUUUAUUGAUUAAGAUAUGUAUAGAACUUGACAUUAUUUACGUGAGCAUACUAGAAAUAAGUUCCGUAUUACUAUAAAUAAAUUAAUUAGAAAAUAUGCUCAUAAGUUUCACUAAAAUUUUUAGAAUAGUAUUAUUAUUCAAAAUCAAAAAUAUUUAUUCAGUUUAGACCACAAGUGGCACUUAUGAUAUGGUUAUGAUAUAUUGUGAUGAUGGGAAAAAUUAUGAUAAAUUAUUAUUUUAAAUAUUGAAAUGAAUUUAUUGUUAUAAUUUUGUAAUCUUUAAUUAUUUACGUAUUCAUUAAAAUAAUACAAUAUUAAAAA